rnacentral:lncRNA from 1 species
AUGAGGCCCUGCAACUCCCAGGCCUGCAGCCAGCAGGUCCUACUUCUCAGUCAGGAGCCGUUCGGGGAGUUGCCGGAGGUUCCUGCAGCGCAUCGGCCCCUGGUGGUCCGACCCCGGCCACGCUCGUCUCGGUUCCUGGUAGUCCGGCUCCGGCCGCGUCUGCAUCGGUUCCUGCUGGUCCGGCUCCGGCCGCAUCGGCAUCAGUUCCUGGUGGUCCGGCUCCAGCCACGUCUCCACGUCUGUCCCCGUCUCUGGUUCCGGCUUCGUCUCUGGUCCCGACUCUGGCUCCACGUCUGUCUUCGUCUCUGGUCCCGACUCUGGCUCCAUGUCUGUCUUCAUCUCUGGUUCCAGCCUCGUCUCCACGUCUGUCCUUGUCUCUGGUUCCGGCCUCGUCUCCACGUCUGUCCUUGUCUCUGGGUCCGGCCUCGCCUCCACGUCUGUCCUCAUCUCUGGUUCGUCGGCCGGACUGGUCGCCUCUCUCUCGGCAUCUCCUGCUGUUUGGAUGGCGAUGCCUCCUUCGGUGCCGUCCAACUCGACUCGAAAACACUUCCCCCUGCAAACGCGCUCCGUCUUUCAGAAGCCGUCUUUUAUUUCUUGUCCACUCCCUUUGUAUUGCGCUCAGAUCUGCACACUGGUCUGUAUCCUCAGUACAGACGAAAGCUCGGUUCCACGAGCCAACCUUUAGCAACCACCGUCUCAGCCACCAAGGCAGACUUUGACCUAAUUAUUUUAUCCGAAUAUUAAAUUUAAAAUUAUAUUUUUUUGGUCCUAAUUAUUAUAUUUUGGAUGUUUUCGGCCAAAUAGUUGUUUUAGAAAUAUUAUUAUCUCUAAUCCUAAUUAUGUUUUCUUUUGUCGUUGUAUGUUUUAGUCUAGUAGGGGAUGUUUUACAAUUAAUUGUUAUUUGCCUUAUUUUCCCUAAACCAAAUGAUCAGAGCCAAGUAAACCCUGAAUACCUGAAACCAAUUUCAAACCCGUUUUUUUUUUUUUUUUUCUUCAACAAUUCGCAACAAAACGAAAUCUCUCUCACCGGGCCGAGUAGAGGUUGAAUUUGGUGUUCGUUGGAUCUCGUCAGAGGCGAUCCAGACGGGUGAGCAGUCCUCCCACUCAGAACAGCUGUCGAGGUUUGGAGGCUGAGCGAACCUAGUCCUCAGGACUAUCGUUUAAAAAUAAUGGGGAAAGCAAAUAAAAAGCAUGGAUGUUGAUCA